AUUGAACGCUGGCGGCAUGCCUUACACAUGCAAGUCGAACGGCAGCACGGACUUCGGUCUGGUGGCGAGUGGCGAACGGGUGAGUAAUAUAUCGGAACAUACCUUGUAGUGGGGGAUAACUAUCCGAAAGGAUAGCUAAUACCGCAUACGCUCUAAGGAGGAAAGUGGGGGAUCGCAAGACCUCAUGCUACACGAGUGGCCGAUAUCUGAUUAGCUAGUUGGUGAGGUAAAGGCUCACCAAGGCGACGAUCAGUAGCUGGUCUGAGAGGACGACCAUCCACACUGGAACUGAGACACGGUCCAGACUCCUACGGGAGGCAGCAGUGGGGAAUUUUGGACAAUGGGGGCAACCCUGAUCCAGCAAUGCCGCGUGAGUGAAGAAGGCCUUCGGGUUGUAAAGCUCUUUUGUCAGGGAAGAAACGGUUGUGGCUAAUAUCCAUGGCUAAUGACGGUACCUGAAGAAUAAGCACCGGCUAACUACGUGCCAGCCGCCGCAGUAA
rnacentral:rRNA from 1 species